GGCACUAAGGAAUAAGCAGCUCGUUGCUCGGCCUGGGGAGGAGGAAGCCGCAAGGAGGACAGGUAGUUUUCAGAGCCACAGCGAGGGCUGGGAGUACUUUCUAAAAAGGGAAUGCAGCUGAGCUCCUGGUCUCUCUGUGGCCUUUCACGCACUUGGUACUGGAGUGAAACCAACUUCCUCAGAAGACAAACUGCAGCUCCAAGUUAGGAGAAUAAUACCAAGCCUGAAUUAACCAAGGGGAAAGGAACCCCUAAGCACUGUGAGAACAAGCGGAAUAUGACUGAGAACAUUCCCUUUCCAUUAACUUUUGCAGACCAUAAUGAGUUGCAUUCCUCGGGCUCCGAGCUCGCUAUGUUAGCCUGUGACAAUGGGAGCGAG